UAUAAUACCAAUAGUUAGGCCAAGACUAAGGUAAAAAAAGUUACUUUGGGCUGAUUUUGGGCUCAGUUGGAUCACAAGCGGAAUCAGAACUAGGAUUGCCUUCUAAAUGGGCUUUGCUUCAACUACUAUCCGGACUGGGUCUGGAAUGGAUUGGUUUGGUGCACUCACGAGUUAAGCAAAACUCAACCUCCUUUCAAUCGCAGCGUUUCAUGCUGCCAUGAGAACCUAUCUUCAAAAAAAUUUAUUUCAUUUCAGACUCUGGUUCUCCCCCCUUUAAUGCCAAAGCUCUCCCUUUCCUUUACAGAUGGGCAAGGCCAUACUUCAAUUCCCAGAUCUCGAUGAACACCCAUCGCUGCCACCACCAUUGUCACCAUUCUCCGCCUCAGAGCAUUGCCCACACCUUCAUUACCUACUUCCUCUGUUUCUUUUCUACUCAAGCGAUCCAGUGUAUUCAAGUUCUCGAGAGCUCAUGGUGGCCCUUUGGAAAUCGAAGCCUCAAAGCAGAAAAACUACUGCCAUUUCCUCUGUACGAAUUAUUCUUCUGCUGAAUUGUUGUUGGGUGAUAUGGACUGUGGGUGUGGGAUUUUCUGUAAUAGGUUUGGGUGUUGGGGUUUGUAUCUGGGUCGAUUGGAACUGAGUGACUACUGAACCAAAAAGCGAAGCUUCUUUGCUUCUGGAUUUUUACUAUUGCUGGGCCUCCUGUGUUGAUGAUUGGAUUUUCCUUCCUGGAACUUGGUUUUCUAGGAUUGGGAACUAGGCUGAUGGAUUUUCUCGUUGUGAAUUGUGCUCCCUUUGUUUGUUUGAUGGUUGACUGAGUUUAUGGAUUUGUUUUGGCUGUGAUAAGAGUUCAAGAUGAUAACAGCUUCCCAGUUAAAAAGAAUUUGCUUUCAUUAUCAUUGAAAUUUCAUCUUCAACAUAAGUAUGAUCAAAUCUGAAAUUUUCAAAAAUCAGAUUGUUUAUAAUGUUCACUUAUCCGGUUCAUAAAAAAUUAUUAAUGAAAUAAAAU
rnacentral:lncRNA from 1 species